AAGAAAGAGGAAGGGCGGGAAAGCAGACUUAGGCGCCUGAGCCACCACCCGGCGGCCUUGAGCAGCAACAGCAGCUCUGAGGCGCCCGAGUGGCGGGGCAGUGACCCAAACCCAAACAGACGGACCUCCCCUUCAGGUGCCUUCCAAAGGGGAGGGGAACUACAACUUCCAUCAUCCCCAACCUGCAUGGCACAUUUGCUGAGGAUGAGAGGCUACCAAGUUGAAAAGGGUUGAUCCAGAAAGAGAACGUUAACAUCCUCCAAGUUCCCUUUGAUUUGGUCAGUACCUUCAAAGCUGCCUUCAUCCCGGCUGCUAAUGGCUGUUCCACAGUUGAUGCUCUUGUAUUAGUGAAAGGUAACAACAGCUCUUAGUAGUAGGGAGAGCCAGAAGAAAUUCUGAAUCCUCCCACUUUGUGGCUGCUUCUGAGCUGGGUUACAAUUUUCGUGUAAGAAAAUUAAACCUAUCAGCUAAUUCCUUCAAAUUGUCUCCCAUCCAGCAGAACAGCAGUGAGUGGUGCCAUUACCCCCACCAAGAGGCAGCCACAUGCAGAGAGGAAAGAGAGUGUGCUGUCACUACAGAGUUGAGGCUCUAGGCUGUCCCUUAUUUCAGCUGCUGCUGCUGCUCCACCUCCCCCUUGAUUUGUGACAGAAGAACAACUAGCAAGAAUCCCACCCACCACCUGUCAUUUUUCUAUUUACCAAACACGAGGCUCUGUUUCUCUCUCUGAAAAACAAAGCAAUUCGAAGGAACAAAAUCUGCUCUAGAUUACAACAUUCCUACUUCUUUAUCAUACUCCCAUGAGCUUUAUAGAUGCACUGAUUGGAUUGAUGUAUCAACUGGGUAGAAUAUAAUGGUUUUGAAUACAAAUAUGGGCAUGUCUUGUUUUACAUCUUGAGCUUUACAUCUUGAGCUUGGCAAAAUCAAAUCUGGCAAUAGGUCAUAGGUUUGAUGCUACCUGCAUCAA